GGUCAACCUCUAGCUACAUUACACUGUUACUAUGUGGUCGACCCCUAGCUACAUUACACUGUUACUAUGUGGUCGACCCCUAGCUACAUUACACUGUUACUAUGUGGUCAACCCCUAGCUACAUUACACUGUUACUAUGUGGUCGACCCCUAGCUACAUUACACUGUUACUAUGUGGUCACCCCUAGCUACAUUACACUGUUACUAUGUGGUCAACCUCUAGCUACAUUACACUG
rnacentral:lncRNA from 1 species